AAGAGACCUCCCGUAGAUCAAAAGCAGCAGCAAACGCAGAGUGUAAAAAAGCGGGAUGACGUGUGAAGGUCAUCCCGC
rnacentral:sRNA from 1 species